rnacentral:pre_miRNA from 14 species
GGUAUCUUGUUGAAAUGCAGAGUGUGAGUCAGUAGAUCUCAGGUGGGGCCCAAGAUUCUGCAUUGCUAACAAGUUC